GAUGAACGCUAGCGGCAGGCUUAACACAUGCAAGUCGAGGGGCAGCGCGGGGUAGCAAUACUCUGGCGGCGACCGGCGGAAGGGUGCGUAACGCGUGGGCAACUUGCCCGUCCACAGGGGAGUAACCGUAGGAACGACCGACUAACACCCCGUAACCACAUCGCGCUGCAUGGCGGGAGUGUUGAAAACUACCGGUGGUGACGGAUAGGCUCGCGUGCCAUUAGCUAGUCGGCGGGGCGAACGGCCCACCGAGGCGACGAUGGCUAGGGGUU
rnacentral:rRNA from 1 species